CCUACGGGAGGCAGCAGUGGGGGAUAUUGCACAAUGGGGGGAACCCUGAUGCAGCGACGCCGCGUGGGUGAUGGAGUGCUUCGGCAUGUAAAGCCCUAUCGGCAGGGAAGAAGCAAGACGGUACCUGUCUAAGAAGCCCCGCCUAACUACGUGCCAGGAGCCGCGGUAAUCCGUAGGGGGCGAGCGUUAACCGGAUUCACGGGGUGUAAAGGGAGCGUAGACGGCCAUGCAAGUCAGGGGUGAAAGCCCGGGGCCCAACCCCGGGACUGCCAGUGGAACUGCAUGGCUGGAGUGCGGGAGGGGCAAGGGGAAUUCCUGGUGUAGGGGUGAAAUGCGUAGAUAUCAGGAGGAACAC
rnacentral:rRNA from 1 species